UACAGAGGUCCCAAGCGUUGUUCGGAUUCACUGGGCGUAAAGGGUGUGUAGGAGGUCAUGUAAGUCGGGUGUGAAAGCCCACCGCUUAACGGUGGAAUGGCAUUCGAUACUGCGUGACUAGAGGAUCGGAAGGGUAAGCGGAAUUCAUGGUGUAGCAGUGAAAUGCGUAGAUAUCAUGAGGAACACCGGUGGCGAAGGCGGCUUACUAGAAGAUUCCUGACUCUGAAACACGAAAGCCAGGGGAGCAAACGGG
rnacentral:rRNA from 1 species